rnacentral:rRNA from 1 species
UACGGAGGGUGCAAGCGUUAAUCGGAAUUACUGGGCGUAAAGCGUGCGCAGGCGGUUUGUUAAGUCCGUUGUGAAAGCCCCGAGCUCAACUUGGGAAUUGCAGUGGAUACUGGCAGGCUGGAGUACGGUAGAGGAAGGUGGAAUUCCCGGUGUAGCAGUGAAAUGCGUAGAUAUCAGGAGGAACACCUGUGGCGAAAGCGGCUCACUGGACCAUAACUGACGCUGAUGCACGAAAGCUAGGGGAGCAAGCAGG